AGUCGGCCAGACAGUCGCUGCCAGACCUGCGUCUAUUACCGUUUUGGCGGUAAAUGAGGCACCUGGUGGAGGAAAGUCCGGGCUCCGCAGAGCAGAACGCCAGGUAACGCCUGGGAGGCGAAAGCCUACGGAAAGUGCAGCAGAGAGUAGACCGCCAACCCCGGCUUCGGCUGGGCGGUAAGGGUGAAAGGGUGCGGUAAGAGCGCACCGCGCGACUGGCAACAGUUCGUGGCACGGCAAACCCCGUUCGGAGCAAGGCCAAAUAGGGAUCCGAUGGUGCGGCUCGCACUGGAUCCGGGUAGGCUGCUUGAGGCCAGCAGUGAUGCUGGUCCCAGAUGAAUGACUGUCCCCGACAGAACCCGGCUUAUCGGCCGACUCGA
rnacentral:RNase_P_RNA from 1 species